rnacentral:rRNA from 1 species
GAUGAACGCUAGCUACAGGCUUAACACAUGCAAGUCGAGGGGUAACGAGAGGAGAGCUUGCUUUCCUUGUCGACGACCGGCGCACGGGUGAGUAACGCGUAUCCAACCUGCCCCCAACUAGGGAAUAACCUUGCGAAAGUAAGACUAAUACCCUAUAAUUUCCUCAGAUGUCAUCUGACGAGGAAUAAAGAUUUAACGGUUGUGGAUGGGGAUGCGUCUGAUUAGCUUGUUGGCGGGGUAACGGCCCACCAAGGCAACGAUCAGUAGGGGUUCUGAGAGGAAGGUCCCCCACAUUGGAACUGAGACACGGUCCAAACUCCUACGGGAGGCAGCAGUGAGGAAUAUUGGUCAAUGGGCGGAAGCCUGAACCAGCCAAGUAGCGUGCAGGAUGGCGGCCCUAUGGGUUGUAAACUGCUUUUAUACAGGAAUAAAGUUAGCCACGUGUGGUUAUUUGUAGGUACUGUAUGAAUAAGGACCGGCUAAUUCCGUGCCAGCCGCCGCAGUAA